GAUGAAGAACGUAGCGAAAUGCUAUAAGUAAUGUGAAUUGCAGAAUUCAGUGAAUCAUCGAAUCUUUGAACGCACAUUGCGCCCGUCAGUAUUCUGGCGGGCAUGCCUGUUCGAGCGUCAUUACGCCCCUCAAGUCCCCUGUGGACUUGGUGUUGGGGAUCGGCGAGGCUGGUUUUCCAGCACAGCCGUCCCUUAAAUUAAUUGGCGGUCUCGCCGUGGCCCUCCUCUGCGCAGUAGUAAAACACUCGCAACAGGAGCCCGGCGCGGUCCACUGCCGUAAAACCCCCCAACUUUUUAUAGUUGACCUCGAAUCAGGUAGGACUACCCGCUGAACUUAAGCAUAUCAAUAAGCGGAGGA
rnacentral:misc_RNA from 1 species